rnacentral:misc_RNA from 1 species
AACAGCCGCGGUAAUUCCAGCUCCAAUAGCGUAUAUUAAAGUUGUUGCAGUUAAAAAGCUCGUAGUUGAAUUUCGGGGUUAGUAGGUUGGUCAUGCCUCUGGUAUGUACUGGUCUCACUGAUUCCUCCUUCCUGAUGAGCCGUAAUGCCAUUAAUUUGGUGUUGCGGGGAAUUUGGACUGUUACUUUGAAAAAAUUAGAGUGUUUAAAGCAAGCUAACGCUUGAAUACAUUAGCAUGGAAUAAUGAAAUAGGACGUUCGAUCCUAUUUUGUUGGUUUCUAGGAUUGACGUAAUGAUUAAUAGGGAUAGUUGGGGGCAUUAGUAUUCAAUUGUCAGAGGUGAAAUUCUUGGAUUUAUUGAAGACUAACUACUGCGAAAGCAUUUGCCAAGGAUGUUUUCAUUAAUCAAGAACGAAAGUUAGGGGAUCGAAGACGAUCAGAUACCGUCGUAGUCUUAACCAUAAACUAUGCCGACUAGGGAUCGGAUGAUGUUAAUUUUUUAAUGACUCAUUCGGCGCCUUA